CUGAACUUAAGCAUAUCAAUAAGCCGGGAGGA
rnacentral:rRNA from 1 species